CACUUUUGUACCUCGGUGGAAGACAGUGGAAGCACAAUCUCUGAGUCAAUUCCUGGGCUGCCUUUGCUACAAUAUUGCAGGUUGCUGAUGUCUGCCUUCAAGAUUGCAUUAAAGAAUAUGGCUUUCUCUGGGGGACAUAAUAUACACAAACCAGCACAGGAGGAGAAAGUCAGAUCAUGGGAGCCCUGAAUUCAAUGCCAUAGAAUUUGGUUUAAUCCUGGAAUGAGUGAGGAGUACCUGAGAGGAUGGAAGAGAAGGCCAAGUUGAUGAAAGAAAGUAAGGAGCCUACCUUUGGAGAAGAAAUAGAGCACUGAUGGCAUAAUAUUUAUAUAGCACUUUCCAGUUCAGGAGGAUUUCCUUUUAUCUUCAGUUGCUUCCUUUUAUCUUCAGUUCAGCCCUGGGAGGCAACAACAGGGAAGAACAGGGAGGAUAAGAGCACAGCUAAAAUACAGCCCUGAUGAGCUGCCACCAUUGCAAUCACCAUGAAGCUGUGGUUCAGGGCUGUUAGGGAGACUGAGAAGACUGAAAAUGCUUAGUGGUGAAUGAGUAGCUGCUAAUUUGAUAAUCACCAUGAAUCCAAGUGAAACAGAUUUGUUUGGCUCACUGUCCACAAUUUACUUUUAUUUGUGAUUGAAUUGUAAUUUCCAUUUAAAAUCAUUAUAAGGAAACAAUACGUUCCCAUCACGCUCACUUAAGUACCAUCCUGGAGUUUCUAGUUUUGCUUUAACUUUAAAUCUGGUCAUGCUGUCUUUCGUUCCUACCAUCAAGGCUUUCCCUUAAGUAGAUGCUGUUCUUUUCCUUGUGCUUAUAACAUGGGGACAAACCAUACAUACCCAGAAAAAUGAUGACUGUGUUUCAUUUCCAAGAUAACUGCAGACUGGUUACAUUUGAAAUUUCCUCUCAAGAGUGUUAAAUAUCUUUCGUGAUUUCUGGAAAAAAAAUUUCCAC